ACGUACACUCCUACGGGAGGCAGCAUUGGGGAAUAUUGGACAAUGGGCGCAAGCCUGAUCCAGCCAUGCCGCGUGAGUGAUGAAGGCCCUAGGGUUGUAAAGCUCUUUCACCGGUGAAGAUAAUGACGGUAACCGGAGAAGAAGCCCCGACUAACUUCGUGCCAGCAGCCGCGGUAAUACGAAGGGGGCUAGCGUUGUUCGGAUUUACUGGGCGUAAAGCGCACGUAGGCGGACUAUUAAGUCAGGGGUGAAAUCCCGGGGCUCAACCCCGGAACUGCCUUUGAUACUGGUAGUCUUGAGUUCGAGAGAGGUGAGUGGAAUUCCGAGUGUAGAGGUGAAAUUCGUAGAUAUUCGGAGGAACACCAGUGGCGAAGGCGGCUCACUGGCUCGAUACUGACGCUGAGGUGCGAAAGCGUGGGGAGCAAACAGGAUUAGAUACCCCAGUAGUCCCAUG
rnacentral:rRNA from 1 species